UACAAGACGGCCAGACGGUAGUUGUAUGGCAGAAGUGCGUACGGGUGAUUAGGCGAGUGGUGGUGCAGAGUCAACGGUUUUUUUGUAGUGCAGAGGUUGAGGUUGGUAUCGCGGGGGAGAGGUGGUCGGCGGUCUCUUGAGGAGGGACAAGGGUAGCGGCGGCGGCGGCGGGUGGCGAGGAGGAGAGGAGACGAUGGGGUCCGCGCUCCUUGGUUGGAGGGCUUCGUUGGUCUCGCCGUUUCGCCGUCUCCUUAACUCUCUACCGCAAACGCCGCCGCCCCUUCCUCUUCCCCGCCCGCAGGAUGUAGGCCUAGUUCGUGCCCCCUCCUCGCCGCGCUCCGUAGGACCUUCCUCGGGCUCCCGGCCCAGAAGAGGCGGUGGUGCGCGUGGCUACAGCGGUGCGCGGAACCGCUGGAGGCGCUGGUCUAGGAGCAGCCAACGUGGAGGAAGCGGCUGGAGCGGCGUGUCGUGAGGUCGACGAGGAGGCGGGCGGUGCCGUUGCUGGAUCACGUAGACCAUCUUGGUUAGCUAAACGUCUUAUACCGUACUUGGCCUUCCCAUUAGCCACGGCGGUGGCCUUCCGAGCCGUCACGAUUAGCGACCUUGAUGUGAUGGCCGUCACGGUAGGUUAGGAGUCUCUGCGAGUUCCAUAUAUGUUACAUGUGUGUUUCCCCAGGUGUACGUUAAUAGAUUAAUAACCUACGUAGUCUAAUUACACGAAUUACUUAGUGUACAAAUAUGAACUCUGUUUACUUACAUAAUUACCAAUCAUUAAAAAAAUUGAUAGGAAAAAUGUACCGAAGAUUCGAGAAACUUUCAAAUCCUGUGUUAUCCUUCAGUAUAAUGUCGCCAAAGGUCAAUUAUUGUUUCGACUUUCGUGUUAGAGAUAAAAAACUCCCGUCGUUUUAACAAAAGAUCUUGACUAUCAAAGAAGUCAUAAAAAAAUCAAACGAAAGACAAUGAAAUAUUGACUUAUACUUAUACGUCAAUGGAAUAAAAAGAAAAUACACUAUACACUCAUAUAUCGUCAAUCGACGUACCAAAUAACACCAAAGUUCGAGUUGAAAACACAAUAGAUCUACGUCAUGAUCCUGACCAACAACUGGUUUCUCUACUAUACUGGUAGUCAAAUACCGGAAAAACUCGAACUACAGAAGAUAUAACCUCUUACUUCAGAAGCCGUACAUGUGACACAUUUGUUAGUAACCUUUUCCGCUCUCCUUCUAUUCUCCUCGUAUAUCUUCAAACACUAAACAUAUCCUCCGGAACAACUAUACUAAAUAAAAGGACUACCAUAUAUAUAAGUAGAGUAAUCCUUCCGUAACAACACACCGAAACCAGAAGGAUUUUAAAAGACACCUAAAAAAAGAAAAGAAAAAUCGAAACACUUUGUUACUGAUAGGAUCGUGUUCUAGAUUAGUACCCUUAAAGGAAUAACAUGUCAAAAGGUAAAAAUUUAUAAUCUGGUAAGAAGUAACAACUCUACAACUAUCCUGUUCAAAAGUAACGAAUAGAAUGGUCCUGAUUCUAAUCCGACCUCUUUCACACCGAACGUACGGUAGAUACAGCAUGUAUUUAAUAAUUUAAAGGAAGUAAAAAACAAGUACUUACAACGUGAGGAUCUCUACUCUGAGCCUUACCCACGUAUUACCAGGACCGAUGGCCUCUUGAGAAGUUCGAGCGUUCACCACGCACAACAUUGAGGGUGACACCGCAACAUCAGCUCGGGUAGUUAAGUUUAAGACUUCUAUUGUACAUCGGACUUAGGUUCUCCCUUGUUUAGGUCAACAAGGUUCUGCGCAAGAAAAAACAUAUAGAACAACUGUCAAACGAAGAGACGGUACAAGUGAACCUGUUACGUAUAUACAUAAUAUUCAGGAAGGUUCAAGUAUCUUAUUUGGUC
rnacentral:rRNA from 1 species